rnacentral:lncRNA from 1 species
UCCGUUUUCGUUGGGGAAACGUUUACACCCGCCGCACCGGCCGAGUCUUCCGCUGGUCAAGGGAGACGCGAUUCAAGGGUAGCCUGCAACAUUUCAAGUUUUAGCAUAAGACUCCUUGACUGUGUUGACCUCUGCAGUCUACCCUCUCCAAGAGUAGCUGCAACAUUUCAAGUUUUAGCAUAUAAGGCUCCUCGGGAAUCCAGGUGUGUGGACAGAAGUGUCGAGUCACAAAUCAGCUCCGUGGAACCCGUGAACACUCCUCUUUCUCAUUUUCUCAUCUAGACCUAGAGUAACACCAACGUGAAACCCGUGUUUUGUUCGCUUUUCGUUUGUUAGUGUCGACCGUCCGUCCCCUUUUGCGUUUGGAUCCAAACUCAUUUUUGUCCUCGCGGCGGGUCUGCCGUGUAACAAAAUACAAACAUAGUACAUAGUUUCACAACCAA